UAAGUAAAAUAAUAAUUAUUGUUAAAUGUUCGAUUAAUCUUUAUGCAAAAAAAUACAAAAAUAAUAUGUUAAAGUAACAUGAGGUAAAUAUUAUAGCUUUAUAAGUUUUUCAAUAAAUAUUAAAUUUCCUUUAUUUCAUCAUAAAAAAAUAAAAAAAGUUAAUUUCUAGAGAUCAAGAAAACAUAAAAAACAAACAAAUAAGUUAACAAUUUUCAAAGAACAAAUUAUUUUAAGAAUAUUAAUUAGAAAAACUUUAAGGUAUAAAAUUUAACAGAAUUAUAUGUAUGAUAAGAGUAAAAAAGAUAUUUAUAUACGAAAAAGUUUAAAAAAAUAUUAUAAACAAUUGAUAAUUGAUAAAAUGUCCAGGUGUUUCAUUUCCUGUAAAACGUGUAUUGUGCAUGCGCAUUGAACACUUCCUGUGACACGUAUAUUUUUUGUAACAGGUACUUGCUGACAUCAGUAUGGCUUGGUCUUCGUGACGUGUCGGGAAUUUCAAAUCGUUGAUAUUUGAACAACAAGACAACUGUCAUAAAAUGCAUAGGAUAAGAAUUCCAAUGAAAGAUGUUCUCUAGUGUACUUCGUUGUGUCCCGCUGUCCAAAAUCGUCGCUUCGACAUCGCUGGUCUUAGGCGCCAAAUCAACCGUUGUCGUAUAACGGAGAAAGAACUCACGGAUGUUACAUACUUUUAAUAUACAAAUACAAACACACAAGUGAACGAGUGGAAUACCAAAGUCGAACUGCCACUCUGACAUUUGAGAAUAGUAUAUAUAAUAUCAACCUGUCCUAAGGACAUUUUAUAAUGUAUAUAAAUACACAAGUUUUAGAGUUACAUAUAUUAAUCAUCCUGACAUAAGGUCAGUCCGUAUGCAUCCUGCACUAUAAUACUCAUAAAUCAUGUCAUGUUCCAUAGUGCACAUUAAGAAAUAAAAACCCUAAUAUAUGUAUAUACAUGUUG